CCAGCUCAAUAGAUUUAUAAGUCUGUCUUUUUCACAAACAACAAUCUUCAUAGCCUCUAAUAAAUUUGAACAGAGGUAGUAAUAAAUCAAUCAAUCUAGGGUGGUUUUGCAAUCGGAAAUUGUUUUCAUUUGAGUGACCAUUGGCGGCGGAGAAUGACAGAGAGGGGCAAAACCACCCAUUGAAACUCCCUACAGCUCUCUGCUUUCACCGCUGCCUCAGACUUAAACUAAUGAGAUUUUUGCUAUUUUCAUGUUAUCGCGGCUUCUUAUAUAUUGUGCCCUAAUCAGUUGGGCCUCAUUUCAAAAGCCCAUUCAGAAUCUAAAUCGAGUCGAACUGAAACCAAUAUUCGGAUCCACCGUUUCAAAUCAUUGGGAAAAAAACAGGAUUAGGGCUUCUGAGCAAAAAAACAUACAACUCGAUUUUGCCGGAAAAUGGAGUGAAAUUGAGGCUCAGAUCUGUGUUUAUGCUCAGGCAAAAAGAGAGUCCGGCGACGCCAUGGCUGCAAAAACCCACCGGGCAAUGCCCCGCCAAGAUACGGGUCGGAUUAUCUCAAAAUGCCCCGAUUAAUUAAUGAGCUCAGAAGGGAAUUAAAUUUUUUUUUUAAAAUCAUCAUCGCCUCUUUUACACCGUCGAUUAUACUCACCACCACCACUUCCACCGCCAGCACCGGCAGCAUUAAAUGCUCCGGCAGAAGCGUAAAAGAGAGAAAGAAAGAAAAAAGGCAUACUGCAUUGAAGAUUCAAACGAUACUAUUUGUGUAAAUCUCCUUAUGUAUCAACAGCGGCUCUAAAAUCGCAAUAAAAGGGCUGUUGGGAUAGUUUGAGAAAUCAUAGGCUAAUAAUGCAGAGAGAGACAACCGCCCUUUCAAUGAAAAAUCCUACAAUUCUCUGUAGCCUCAUUCUCUCCCUUCCAAGCUUUGUUACAUUUCUUUAGAACUUUUUGUUCGUUUUUUGGACUUUGGUAAUCUGGUUAUUUAUACUACCUAGUCAAUCGUAUUUUAAAAGGGGUUUUUUUAAACCCUAAACUUGAAACUGAAAUUUACCAUUAGAAAAGUGGAAACAAGAUGGAGAAUUCCAAGUAUAAUUUUCAAAAUCUUACCCAGAAAAAGAUUCGGCGGCUUCUUGAUCCUUGAAGAGAGAGACGUGUGAAGGAUGAAAUUUGUUUUGGGUUUAGAAGAAAUAGCCUGAUAUCAAGAGAGAGAAAAGGAGCACCGAAAAAAGAGGCGUGUAUUUUUAGUAUUUUUAACCUCUGAACGGAAUUAAGACUUCUUUAGGUCAAUCACAAAGUGUGCCAAAAAACCAAUAAAAACAAGCAAUCUCAAGAAAAACCAACAGCACAAACUCAAUAUACACAAUUAGUGUGUAUUCACAAAACAAGCAACAACUGCAAAAUUUGCUUAAAUUAUACAACGAGAUUACUUCCUAAUAAAUGUAUUGCCUUCCUUGUAAAGGUCUAUGAUUUUAGCUUUUAACUUGUAACACCAACUGCAGAGCUCCUGCAUAAAUAGAUGCAGUGGCAAUACAUUGUUUUUAAAGUUGAGUAAUCGAAUUACAGGAUAAUGCUAAUGAGAUCAUGGACUUCACCGAUAAGGAUUAGUUGGGAAAAAAUAUCUCAGCAACAAAGUAACCCAAAAUAGACAUUAGUAUUCAAAUGCCUAGAUUUCUAGACAAAAGGAAACACAUUUAGGCACAUCCAUGUCAAAGAAGCAGGAAUUCUGAUUCUUUUCAGAAUUCGAAAACAGAGAACAUAAGGGCUAAAGUAUCAGAAAGUACCUCUUUAGCAUAUAAAAACAGAGAACAUAAGGGCUAAAGUACCUCUUUAGCAUAUGAUGCCGAUGAUUCGACAAAGAAAAAUAUUAAGGCACACCCAUCUCAGAGCAAGAGCAUACCAAGUCAUUAGAUUUUAAAAAGAAGUGGGAAAUAGGAUUAAUAUCAAAAAGAACAUAUUUACCAACAAAGAAACUCAAAAAUAGAUUUUACUUGUUUGCAUUCUGAUUCUUAGAAUUAUAGUGAAAAGAAACCAUUUUUAGGCACACCCAUAUCAAAGAAGCAGUAUUAUCAUUCAACACAGAGAGUUCAUAAACAAUGAAAAAUAGGCUAGAGUAUCAAGAUGUACAUCUUUCGCAAUAAAGUUAAUUCUCAAAUAGAACUUAGCAUUCACAUUCCUAGAGCUUCAAAAGGAGAGAAUUUGUUGUUUGCUUUCUUAUUUGAUCUUUGGCCAUCAAUUAUUUUUGCUACCAUCACCAUUUAUCGUUCAAUUACUAAAAUUCAGAUACUGAAAACAUUGGAGAAAUUAUUCCAGAACAUUUUGGAAAAUCAAACUAGUUUUAGACUGAUAUGAAUACCUUCAAGCUAAGAAUUAUUUCCACAAUGCUUCUCCAAGAGUUACAGUCUCAAAAGUGAACCAAAAGUUAAAUUGAGGUAUGAGCUCGGAUUGUUUCCUAUGUCAUCAAGUAGCAGAGAAAAAAGCAAAAAGCAAAAACCAAAAUCAACAGCAAUGGGGUAGGCUCAGAUUCGCCUUUUCUCAGACAAAACCCAAAAAGCUUUGGAAAAAACUGCCAUGGCUGCAAGCAUAAGUUAGUCUUAUGAGACAGGAAAAAACACCCAAAAAAUGGAUUUUCUCCAAUAUCUCAUAGACUCACGAGGUAGGGUAAGCUCUGCCUAUAUUUUGUUGUUGUUGUUACAUCUCAUAGACAUAUCUGAGCUGCCAUGCCAUGAUACAAGUUUUACCAGCUCAAUAGAUUUAUAAGUCUGUCUUUUUCACAAACAACAAUCUUCAUAGCCUCUAAUAAAUUUGAACAGAGGGAGAAAUAAAUCAAUCAACCUAGGGUGGUUUUGCAAUCGGAAAAUUUUCAUUUGAGUGAUCAUCGGCACCGAAGAAUGACAGAGAGGGGCAAAACCACCCAUUGAAACUCCCUACAGCUCUCUGCUUUCAC
rnacentral:lncRNA from 1 species